rnacentral:rRNA from 1 species
AACGCUGGCGGCGUGCCUAAUACAUGCAAGUCGACGCUUUUUCUUUCACCGGAGCUUGCUCCACCGAAAGAAAAGGAGUGGCGAACGGGUGAGUAACACGUGGGUAACCUGCCCAUCAGAAGGGGAUAACACUUGGAAACAGGUGCUAAUACCGUAUAACAAUCGAAACCGCAUGGUUUCGGUUUGAAAGGCGCUUUUGCGUCACUGAUGGAUGGACCCGCGGUGCAUUAGCUAGUUGGUGAGGUAACGGCUCACCAAGGCAACGAUGCAUAGCCGACCUGAGAGGGUGAUCGGCCACAUUGGGACUGAGACACGGCCCAAACUCCUACGGGAGGCAGCAGUAGGGAAUCUUCGGCAAUGGACGGAAGUCUGACCGAGCAACGCCGCGUGAGUGAAGAAGGUUUUCGGAUCGUAAAACUCUGUUGUUAGAGAAGAACAAGGAUGAGAGUAGAAUGUUCAUCCCUUGACGGUAUCUAACCAGAAAGCCACGGCUAACUACGUGCCAGCAGCCGCGGUAAUACGUAGGUGGCAAGCGUUGUCCGGAUUUAUUGGGCGUAAAGCGAGCGCAGGCGGUUUCUUAGUCUGAUGUGAAAGCCCCCGGCUCAACCGGGGAGGGUCAUUGGAAACUGGGAAACUUGAGUGCAGAAGAGGAGAGUGGAAUUCCAUGUGUAGCGGUGAAAUGCGUAGAUAUAUGGAGGAACACCAGUGGCGAAGGCGGCUCUCUGGUCUGUAACUGACGCUGAGGCUCGAAAGCGUGGGGAGCAAACAGG